GGCUAGGUAGCUCAGGUGGUAGAGCGCGGCCCUGAAAAGGCCGGCGUCGCUGGUUCAACUCCAGUCCUAGCCA
rnacentral:tRNA from 1 species